UGGGGAAUAUUGGACAAUGGGCGGAAGCCUGAUCCAGCAACGCCGCGUGAGGGAUGACGGCCUUCGGGUUGUAAACCUCUUUCAGUACCGACGAAGCGAAAGUGACGGUAGGUACAGAAGAAGGACCGGCCAACUACGUGCCAGCAGCCGCGGUAAUACGUAGGGUCCGAGCGUUGUCCGGAAUUAUUGGGCGUAAAGGGCUCGUAGGCGGUUUGUCGCGUCGGGAGUGAAAACAGCGGGCUUAACUCGUUGCUUGCUUUCGAUACGGGGCAGACUAGAGGUAUGCAGGGGAGAAUGGAAUUCCUGGUGUAGCGGUGAAAUGCGCAGAUAUCAGGAGGAACACCGGUGGCGAAGGCGGUUCUCUGGGCAUUACCUGACGCUGAGGAGCGAAAGUGUGGGGAGCGAACAGGAUUAGAUCCCUGGUAGUCCACACCGUAAAACCGUUGGGNGCUAGGUGUGGGGUCCUUUCCACGGAUUCCGUGCCGUAGCUAACGCA
rnacentral:rRNA from 1 species